GGGGAUAUGGUGGAAUGGUAGACACAACAGACUUAAAAUCUGUCGAUUUAUGAUCGUGAGGGUUCAACUCCCUCUAUCCCCA
rnacentral:tRNA from 2 species